CGCGAAGAACCUUACCAAGGCUUGACAUAUACCGAAAAGCAGCAAGAGAUGUUUGUGUCCGCAAGGGCGGUAUACAGGUGGUGCAUGGUUGUCGUCAGCUCGUGUCGUGAGAUGUUGGGUUAAAGUCCCGCAACGAGCGCAACCCUCGUUCUGUGUUGCCAGCAUUUAGUUGGGGACUCACAGGAGACUGCCGUGGUCAACACGGAGGAAGGUGGGGAUGACGUCAAAUCAUCAUGCCCCAUAUGUCUUGGGCUGCACGCAUGCUACAAUGGCAGGUACAAAGGGCUGCAAUACCGUAAGGUGGAGCGAAUCCCAAAAAGUCUGUCUCAGUUCGGAUUGAGGUCUGCAACUCGACCUCAUGAAGUCGGAGUUGCUAGUAAUCGUAGAUCAGCAACGCUACGGUGAAUACGUUCCCGGGGCUUGUACACACCGCCCGUCACGUCACGAAAGUC
rnacentral:rRNA from 1 species